GCUCUUUCUUACGCCUUUGCGCAGUUAUUGAGCAAUGGGUGUUGAGGAGGAGAUUUACAGGCCUGAAGCGGGAUUUGAAGAAGAUUCUAGAGAACCUCUUGUUGAUCUUUCGUUGACGGACUCCACAGAGCUUUGGCUCAUUCAAUGGCCUCAUAAUGAACUUCCUGAUUUUCAAGGGAAAGAAAUAUCACUUAGUCUUCAUGGUGAUGGAUGUUUGGGCAGUUUUGAGGGUUCAUCAGGAAAAGUAUAUGAUAUAGUUAGCUGUGCUAUGGAAGAGCCAGAUGCAAUAGUUUUCCAAUCCUCAGCAUCUGAAACAAAAAUUGUGGGGAAUAUUUCACGGCGAGUUGCUCUUGUUCAUUACCAUGAUCCUAAAGAACUUGAAAAACAAGAAGCUGAAAAGAAGUCAAAACGACUAUAUCAAAUGUCUGCUGGAUCUUCAUUGAUAAACUCUUCUGGGACUCCUACUCAAAACACCAAGCUCAGAAACUCAUAUUCGUCAAGGGGACAUCCAACCUCAACACACAGUAGCAGAUAUAAGAGUUCUUUAUCCGAGGUUGGAGAACAAUCAGGUGCAAAAAAGAGAAAGCAUAAGCAUGAACGCGUUGCAUCGACAGAUCAGUCUACUUUAGAUUCAGGGCGGGGUCACAGUGGAUAUACCAUGUCAGGGUCAUCAGAGCAUUCACAUUGAGGGAAAGUGGAGGAGUAAAAAAAACUGAGUAAUUCUUCCCUUCUUGCCUUGGGUAAUCCCCUGGAAUUUUCUAUUUUGUUGAUUUGCUUCAUAGAUAUCAAUGAUUUAGUAGUGAUGAGAGAUGGUAUGCUGAUCUUCCUCUUGUCUUCCUUUAUAAGACUAGCCUUUGAGUAAUUCUGAAAGUCUUAUUUCCCAAUUAGACCAUAGGUGUCAGUUGCAGCAUUGUGCAAAAAUCUUAUUUAUACUAUUAAGUAAUUGUUUGUUCAUUU
rnacentral:misc_RNA from 1 species